UUUCGAGAGGAAAUUUCCGCGUAAAGUCGUGUGUCCCCGGGGAUGUGGAACAUACCCGGCAUUUGUGCGUGUUCGCGGUGCUAAUAAUGGCCCCGAUCCCGGUGCUGGUUGGACAGUUCCGCCGGAAGACCGAAUCGGAAUGGUUCGGGGUUGGCGAAGGUGUUGCCGCUGUGAAGCAACAAUAUUUUUAGGGACACUUCUCCACGGUGGACCGGCUGCUGCUGCACACAUCCCGGACCGCCGUGGCGCGCCGAAAGUAUGUGUGGAAGCGCUGGCAAGGAGUGACUGCGUUCUCGGUGUAGGCUGGACCGCUGGAUAGAUCCACCGGGUGACGGAUCUAGUACGACUCAGGAAUGGUAACAAGGAGUUCAGCAACUACGUGGGCUUAUUUCACUGAGGAUUGUGCUUCUCGAUUACGCGAAUGUCCAUCCCAAGUACGAAGCAGUGAAUCCUGCACCGGCUACCGACAUUCCGGACAACGCCAAACAGUAACUGUUUGCUUGGCUGAUUGAAGCGGAAUCACAAAAGAAAACGACGCUAAAAAAAGUGCUAAAUAAAGUGAAAAAAAAUACAAAUAAUAACGAUAAAAAUACUCAUUAAUUUAUUGUAUUGACCAUUAACUUCAAUGUCCAUUUAUAUUUUUACCAUACAGUUUUGUGGAGAAAAAACAAUAAAUAAACGAUAAAACUUA